rnacentral:rRNA from 1 species
UACGGGGGGGGCAAGCGUUGUUCGGAAUUACUGGGCGUAAAGGGCUCGUAGGCGGCCAACUAAGUCAGACGUGAAAUCCCUCGGCUUAACCGGGGAACUGCGUCUGAUACUGGAUGGCUUGAGAUUGGGAGAGGGAUGCGGAAUUCCAGGUGUAGCGGUGAAAUGCGUAGAUAUCUGGAGGAACACCGGUGGCGAAGGCGGCAUCCUGGACCGGUAUUGACGCUGAGGCGCGAAAGCGUGGGGAGCAAACAGGG